rnacentral:rRNA from 1 species
CGAACGGUAACAGGAAGAAGCUUGCUGCUUUGCUGACGAGUGGCGGACGGGUGAGUAAUGUCUGGGAAACUGCCUGAUGGAGGGGGAUAACUACUGGAAACGGUGGCUAAUACCGCAUAACGUCGCAAGACCAAAGAGGGGGACCUUCGGGCCUCUUGCCAUCAGAUGUGCCCAGAUGGGAUUAGCUUGUUGGUGAGGUAACGGCUCACCAAGGCGACGAUCCCUAGCUGGUCUGAGAGGAUGACCAGCCACACUGGAACUGAGACACGGUCCAGACUCCUACGGGAGGCAGCAGUGGGGAAUAUUGCACAAUGGGCGCAAGCCUGAUGCAGCCAUGCCGCGUGUAUGAAGAAGGCCUUCGGGUUGUAAAGUACUUUCAGCGGGGAGGAAGGGAGUAAGGUUAAUAACCUUAUUCAUUGACGUUACCCGCAGAAGAAGCACCGGCUAACUCCGUGCCAGCAGCCGCGGUAAUACGGAGGGUGCAAGCGUUAAUCGGAAUUACUGGGCGUAAAGCGCACGCAGGCGGUCUGUCAAGUCAG